rnacentral:rRNA from 1 species
ACCUGAUGAACCUAAAUAUCUGAAUGAGGAAAUUCAGCAUUAUUGUGUCAGAUGAUGGCACAAUGGUGUGCACUUUUCUUCUAGUAAGACGUUGCGAUCCAUUAGAAAAGUUAAAAUCUGUAUAUAGGCCCGGGUAGGAGUUUAUACAUUAAGCGAGUAACAUGGCUUUGUUGCAAUGUGAAUGCGUGUAAACUACUUGGUGUUCUUACAGAUGUCUGAUGGUAUUAUGACUAAAUGUCGCAUACAAUUUUCGAAUUGAUAUCUCUUUGUGGAUAUAAUGCGUACAUUAUCAGCAACGUUUUAGAUUUAGGAUACCAUCAGGACCCGUCUUGAAACACGGACCAAGAAGUCUAACUUGUAUGCAAGUCAAUGGGAUUAUUAAAACCUAUAGGCGAAAUGAGAUUAACUUGUUAAAUGGGAUUACAAAUGGUAUUAAUCGUACUAUUUUUCCAUCCCCGGGUAUCUUAAUGUGAGUACUGUGAUUUCGGUUACGUGUACCACAAAGAUAUACCGUGAGCAUACAAGCUGUGACCCGAAAGAUGGUGAACUAUGCCUGAUCAGGUUGAAGUCAGGGGAAACCCUGAUGGAAGACCGUAGCAAUUCUGACGUGCAAAUCGAUUGUCAGAGUUGGGUAUAGGGGCGAAAGACCAAUCGAACCAUCUAGUA